CGCAAUGGGCGCAAGCCUGACGGAGCAACGCCGCGUGAGGGAUGAAGGCCUCUGGGCUGUAAACCUCUUUUAUCAAGGAAGAAGAUCUGACGGUACUUGAUGAAUAAGCCACGGCUAAUUCCGUGCCAGCAGCCGCGGUAAUACGGGAGUGGCAAGCGUUAUCCGGAAUUAUUGGGCGUAAAGCGUCCGCAGGCGGUUUUACAAGUCUGUCGUUAAAACGUGGAGCUCAACUCCAUUUCGGCGAUGGAAACUGUAAGACUAGAGUGUGGUAGGGGCAGAGGGAAUUCCCGGUGUAGCGGUGAAAUGCGUAGAUAUCGGGAAGAACACCAGUGGCGAAGGCGCUCUGCUGGGCCAUAACUGACGCUCAUGGACGAAAGCCAGGGGAGCGAAAGGGAUUAGAUACCCCUGUAGUCCUGGCCGUAAACGAUGAACACUAGGUGUCGGGGGAAUCGACCCCCUCGGUGUCGUAGCCAACGCGUUAAGUGUUCCGCCUGGGGAGUACGCACGCAAGUGUGAAACUCAAAGGAAUUGACGGGGGCCCGCACAAGCGGUGGAGUAUGUGGUUUAAUUCGAUGCAACGCGAAGAACCUUACCAGGGUUUGACAUCCUGCGAAUUCCUUGGAAACUUGGAAGUGCCUUCGGGAGCGCAGUGACAGGUGGUGCAUGGCU
rnacentral:rRNA from 1 species